CGUGAAGCGAAAGUCAAUCCGCACAAGCAUCAGUGUGUGUGAACUUGCACCAACUGGGUAGUGUAAACUGACAUGAGCUGGCAGGAACGGGAGCGAUGGAGGAGGAAAGCUGAAGUUAUGAGGCUACACGACGAAAGGUAGGCCUGCAAUUGAACUACAAAGGACUACCACCAAAGUGAAGAACAUAGUAGUGUGGAACCCCAAAGUGUUUCACAAUCAUGGAAAUAGAAUUUGACGAGGCCCUGGGUGGACCAAACUCUUCAUAUGACAACUGGGAGGAAGAAGAUUUUGGAGAAACUGAAAAAUCACUGGAUUUCCAUGGAAUUUUUGCCACUGCUUGCUUCAUUGUCAUGGCAUGGUCAUUUUUGGCAGGUCGCGUGGUUGCGAAUUGCUCACAGCGGUAAAACCUGCGCUCAGAAAAAAAAUGUUUUGCUCAGUGCUGAAAAAAAUUAGAGGGAACAUUGGUUAGAUCAGAGAGCAAGUGUAGAUGUGGGGCAUCAGGGAGUAGAGUUAAAUCAGAGAGCAAGUGUAGAUGUGGGGCAUCAGGGAGUAGAGUUAGAUCAGAGAGCAAGUGUAGAUGUGGGGCAUCAGGGAGUAGAGUUAGAUCUCGUCAGCUCUUCACACGUGCCUGUGCUUCCUCAAAGUUAAAGACUUUUUUUUCAACUUGGGGAAGUUGGAUUUGUCUCCUGAGAUCUGAAACUAUGACCUCGCAAUCAGCUCUUCAUACCAACCCAUUCCAUACAUGUAGGCCUAACAGUUUUCCAAUCCAGGAGGAUUGUUCUCCCAGUGUCUCCCUGUCAAACUGACCUAGCUGCUUUCCCUUUUGAUAAAUACAUUUUUCAUUACUAAUAUUUUUAUUACACAUAUUUUAUUACUUUUUCUUAAUUAUUCUAAAUGUUUUUUUAUUAUGUGCUUUUACUGUUUAACAUUUCUGUAAUUGCUUGCACAGCAGUUUUUGGCAAAUCAACAUAUUGAUGAUUUAUCUUGCUUUUUAAAUUAUUCUUAAUGGUGAUGUGUGCUAUGGUGACAGUAAUGUCAAUCUUCAUUUCUUGAUGUCACAACCUGUUGUAGGUCGCAUUGGAUAAAUGCGUCUGCCAAAUAAAGUAAAGCA